AAUUUUAUUUUGCAUUUUAAAAAUCAAAAGAGCUUGAUAGAGGAUAUAGUUGAUAUAGUUUAAAAGAAGCCAAUGAAUAUCAGAAAUGCUUAUAUAAUAAUGAUUUUAUUCGAUAUAAAAUGAGUGACUGACUAAAACAUGCACAUAUCAUAAAAAAUGUUUUACAACAUAUGUGUGAUUAUCACUUUUAUGAAAAACUUGCACGUUUAUUUCAUGCAUUCAGUAUUACUUAACUAAAUACUACGGUGGAUAAUAUGUUGCCUGUUUCACUGGCUAUCAUAUAUAAUGUCAAUACGUGGGAUUACGCUUAAGGACGGAUGAAUAUCUUUUAUAGAUAAUUAGAUGUUCUGUAAGUAAUAAAAAUUCAUUUAAAAAUUUGCAGUUUCUAUGUUUAUUGUUCUCUUAUAAAGUGAUCUAACAUUUUAUUAGAAACUUAAUUUCCUCGUUAAUCAUGCGUAACGUUACUUCAUACAUCUUUGGGUCCCCACUGACCUUUUAAAGAAGAUUUUAAAAUACUAUCGUUAAAAUGCACAAAAUAAAAGGAGAUUGUGUUUGGUUCUGGUUAAAAAUCAGAAACCUAUAUCAUACAUUUUCAUCCGGACUUGUGCAACUCGUGGAAAUUAUAAUGCAUAUGUUGCUCAUAAAUUUGAAUAGAUUUUAAUCUUUCACCCAAACAAACAAAUAUCAUUUCCUUUAAUAGACAUAAUAUCUGCUAAUACUACGAUUUGAUAAAACUUACAAAAUCUGCAAAACCUGAAAACAUGGUAAACGUAAUUACGGAAACAAAAA